UAUCUCGGCUCUUGCAUCGAUGAAAGAACGUAUCGAAAUGCGAUACUUGGUGUGAAUUGCAGAAUCCCGUGAACCAUCGAGUCUUUGAACGCAAGUUGCGCCUGAAGCCAUUAGGUUGAAGGCACGUCUGCCUGGGCGUCACGCAUUGCGUCACCCACUCCCCCGUGCCUAAGCAGGCAU
rnacentral:rRNA from 1 species